rnacentral:rRNA from 1 species
GGGUCAGUAGGUUGGUCGUGCCACCGGUACGUACUGGUCUCACUGAUUCCUCCUUCCUGAAGAACCGUAAUGCCAUUAAUUUGGUGUUGCGGGGAAACAGGACUGUUACUUUGAAAAAAUUAGAGUGUUUAAAGCAAGCUAACGCUUGAAUACAUUAGCAUGGAAUAAUGAAAUAGGACGAUUGAUCCUAUUUUGUUGGCUUCUAGGAUUGACGUA